UUUAAAUCAUAUUGUCAUUAAACUUUUCUAAUGGUUACCCUUUGUCUGUCUGAGUCUCUACAGACUGAAUUACUGGUUGAUCACGUGAGGUCAAAGUUUACAGAAAGAGCUGUUCUCCUGCUUGCUUGAAGUUUAUAAGAAGUUGCAAGAGGUUUAUAAUUUUAAUGACUAGUGUUACAGGUCCUUGGUACACUAUGGUCAGGUCUCCCUUACAAAACUACCUGUUGAGCCUCAGAUUAGCUAAAGUAGGACUUGGAUUAGCUCUUCUAACUCUGGCUCUGCUGACAGCUAUUCCUUCCUGUUAACCCUUUACGUCCUAAAUUUAAAAUCUCUGCCUGGAUAUUUUUGCUUAUUGUAAUUGUACGCAAUUCUUUAAAUGUCCUGUGAGUAAAUAUAUUUGCCCAUUUAUCCAUAGCAACUGGAACUUUAAAUAUCUAGAAAGUUAUUUGAGCAAUUUACCAUCUAUUAAAAGAUUGCUCCACUACAGCAGCGGUGAAAUUACCGUAAUAACCUGAUAUUGGUUAUUAUCAGGCUACAGUUCCCUUUCAGAAACUGUUGGAAUCUCUCAGAUAGCGCAAAGUGUGGCAGAAUUACGGUACUGCAACUUUGGCAGGACGGUUGCCGCUACGUUUAGGACUUAAAGGUUAAAAGACAGUUAUUCCUUUCUACUUUCACCACAUGCUUCCUGAGUACUAGUGUUUGUUUAAAGGUCAAUGACUCAGUUCAGUCAGCUGGACUUCUAUUGAUAGAUCACUUCUUCCAGUGAUAUAAUCGUGUUAUUAAAUGGUCAUGUUUUCUAUGUGCCUUGAUAAUUGCUGUGAAUUGGCAUCAUAUAAGUGAAUUGAAUUGAAGGGAGCUAAAAGGUGACAUGAUUCACUGACCCACCCGUUUGUUCUGUGAGUCACUGUCGGCCAUUCCCUCCUGAAGGUGCGUCUUUAGGAGAGCAAUGCAUGAAGAGUUUCUGUCACUUGGUUGAAGGUGUGAAUAACAGAGAAACCACCUGGUGUUUCCUUCUGGCUGAGGUUGUUAAAUUGAUGGAGCCUCAGGCCAUCUAUUUUAAGUCUAACAAUUUAAGUCUAACAAGUCUAGUUUAAGUCUGCCUCCUUUUUCCGACAAAACAACAUCCUCUGUCCUUGAGACGUAGACGAGCUGCUGAGUCCUGAUAUGUAUUUAUGUAGCUGCUGCAUAGUUUUAUAAAUAUGGAGGUUAGAAUAUGUACACCACUAAGCUUGAGAUUCCCAAAAACUCCAACGUAAGACAUCCAGGAGUCUUCCAUGAAAUCACUUGCUGUUCAUAUUGCGGAUGAAUCAAAGUCUAGACGCUAUAAUUUAACUCUGACCUCAAAAAAGGCUUCUGAACUCUUGCUGUGGAAUAACUUAGCAAAGACCCAACAUUUGUAAAUGUUUUUCCAUUUUGUCUGACGUAGACUGUCACAGACAUGUAAACUUGGUAAGUCCAACUCAGCUACUUCACAAUACAGAAGUGACCCAACAAGAGGAAAUGAUCAUAGGAUUUUUUUCACUUCAGCCCUAAAUUUAGGAUGAGAGAAAUUUAAAAUUCCCAACAAUAUAUAUUUAUAUAUAGUUCACAGAUGAUUUUAACAUGUCAUUAAAAUAUAAUUUCUUUGUGUAUUUGCCUUUAGCCUAUAAUACUAGUAAAUAAUAAUAUUAGUUAUUUUGAUCAAACCUUACUGAUUCACAGUCUCCAAAGAAAUCUGAAGUACAACUUGUAUUUUGUUUCCAAUGAUGGAGUUUCAAAUAAUUGUUAGAAUUAAACCCAAAAUACAAAAUACAAAUGGAGACCAAACAGCUGAAAUCUGAUUGUACACAUUUCAGGUUUAGACUAGUUAUUAUAAACUACAAGACCUUCCUGUUUCUGUCAUUGUGUGGUUAAAACAGUCCUUCCUGUAAAGACACGGGUCAAGAAUAAAAAUAGACAACAAAGCAAAUGUAGCAAACGAAGUUCAUAGUUACCACAAUGGCUGCAAACUAGACAGUUUUUAUGAAGUUCAACUCUAAAUACAGUUAAACAUUUAACACCUUAUCCAGCUGGAGCUGCUGGACACAGAAUAAAAUGAAACUAGUUUCAUCCAGUCGUACAGCAGACCUGUGAUCACAUCAGUAGUUUUAUAAAGUCAUAGUAAUGAUUCACGAUGACGAUCUAAUCAAACUUUUUACUGCACUGAUGUUCGCCACCUUGUGGUGGUUUAACUUUACGACCACAAAACCCCUACUGUCUUACUGUUUUGAUAAGACUUUUUGAAAAUUGUUUGACAGUUCUCGGGGGUGGUGGUGGUGGUGCGGUUGGAUUUUCCAGAUCUAAAAUCGGACAUAUUCAACAUCGUCUUGGCCCGACUAUUGCAGCCUGUGAAGUUGGUAGCCAAUCAGAAAGCGCGGUGACGUAAGAAGGGAGGUGAAUCCCAAACAGCUGACAUCGGAAGUGAUAUGUGGAAAGGUUUAUUACUAUUGUAAGAGUGAAAACUGUAGUUAUGAAAAUGUAAAAUGUUUUGGGAAAUGUUUUAUUGUGAAAGGCUCGCUGGAAGGAAGUUGGGGGGAAGAGCGAACGUUGGGGUUACGGCGGUGUGCGGUAACGGCUGGGUAGCGGAGAAGAAAUUAAAUGUUCGACAUUGAGAAAGAGCUCAAUUGUUUCUGUGGAUUAUUCUACAAAGGAGAAUCACAGUACUUGGACACCCACGAGUCUUACACUAUAUAUAAAGAGCAAACCCGAUUCCAGGUUGAACGGAAAACAACAAGUUAUUCCACCGCAAGAGUUCAGAACGAUUUCAAAAAAAUCCCUCUGGAAAUUUUUGCUUGCAUUAUGCUCAGUCUGCAGAAAAAACCCAAUCUAACCCUCCGUCCAACCCUAAUUCCAAGCCUUAUUCCAUCCAUCCUUCAAACCAUAAUGUCGACACUCCACACAUCCCUCCUUUCUGAACAAUUUACGUAUUGAAUUAUCCAGACCAACCCUAAAUCUAAACCUAAAUCCAACUUUGACUCCAACUCUCCUUCCCAGUGAAGGACGGGAAGGAAUAAUUGUGACAUGAAGAAGCUGCAGAAAUUUCCCAGUACUGGUUGAGAGUCGACUUUCUCCAGCUUCCAGUCUGUUUAUUGGCCUGUCCUCCUUUCUCCUCCAAACUCACUCAUCUCCUGCUGAACAUGUCCCCACCUGUUUGUGAUUUUCACUGUUUCUA